AGUGAACGCUGGCGGUAGGCCUAACACAUGCAAGUCGAACGGCAGCACAGUAAGAUCUUGCUCUUACGGGUGGCGAGUGGCGGACGGGUGAGGAAUACAUCGGAAUCUACUUUUUCGUGGGGGAUAACGUAGGGAAACUUACGCUAAUACCGCAUACGACCUACGGGUGAAAGCAGUGGAUCUUCGGACCUUGCGCGAUUGAAUGAGCCGAUGUCGGAUUAGCUAGUUGGCGGGGUAAAGGCCCACCAAGGCGACGAUCCGUAGCUGGUCUGAGAGGAUGAUCAGCCACACUGGAACUGAGACACGGUCCAGACUCCUACGGGAGGCAGCAGUGGGGAAUAUUGGACAAUGGGCGCAAGCCUGAUCCAGCGAUACCGCGUGGGUGAAGAAGGCCUUCGGGUUGUAAAGACCUUUUGUUGGGAAAGAAAAGCAGCAGGUUAAUACCACGCUGUUCUGACGGUACCCAAAGAAUAAGCACCGGCUAACUUCGUG
rnacentral:rRNA from 1 species